GACAUUCUUUUUUUAUUCUUUUCCAUUAUGGUUUAUCACAGGAUAUUGAAUAUAGUUCCCUGUGUUAUACAGUAGGACCUUGUUGUUUAUACAUGGUAACAAUCUUGAUCCUCCCCAACCCACACUGGCACUGCCUCUGGUAGCAUCCUUCACUGUGGAUGAAAUUUCUGGCUUCAUCACAAGGGUGUGUUUGCUCUGCCUUAUACACCAUUUUAUCAGGUCAUCAAGAUCUUAGCAAUUGCCAGGGAGCAAUUUACAUUUUUGCAACAUUGUUCCCAAUAAGCUGCUUUCUCCUCCUGUCUUCAGCAAACCCUCUGUGUUUUCCUUUGUAUAAGAAAUGAGCCAAUGGGAGUUCCCUGGUGGUCUAGCAGUUAGGAUCUGGUGCUUUCACUGCUAUGGCCCAGGUUCAAUCCCUGGUCAGGGAUCUGAGAUCCCGCAAACCGUGUGGCGCAGCUAAAAUUAAAAAAAAAAAAAGAAAAAGAAAGAAAUGAGCCAGGAUGUUACGCUGCAGGUUUGCCAUUUUGACUAAUUCCUCCCAAUCAGCAGAGUUCUAAAGGAAUUCUGCUUUUGCUGGAUGUUGUGUCUCUGUCCACACAUCUGGGCAUUGGGUGUUCUAGGGCCUCAGUCAAAACACCUUCCUGGGUUUUCCACCUUGUCCUUGUGGGGUUAAAAAACAAACUUAGAAAGCUCCUUGAAGGGGAAUUCCCUGCGGUCUAGUGAUUAGGACUCGGUGCUUUCACUGCUGGGGCCCAGGUUCGAUCCCUGGUCGGGGAACCAAGAUCCCAAAUGCUGCGCAGUGCGGCCAAAUAAAACGAAAUUAAAAACGGAAACAAACAAAAAAACUCCCUGAAGGCUGGAACUCCGUAGCAUUUACUGUUUAUUCCCAACCCCUACACAGUGCCUGGGAUACUUAUCAAAUGACUCCAUCCGUCUAAGAUAAAUGUUAGAAAAAGUCCUUUAAAAUUCCCCAGGGUCAAAAGUGUACAGAAGCACAAAACAAGCACUGAAUGUUCUUACUUUUCUCAGUUCCCUCUUCCCAUAAUCGCUCUCACGUCCCCUCCUCCCACCUCCUCAGCUUCAAAAACCCACAGCAGAUUCUUGGGCACCCGUUACCUCGGACUCCAUACCCCACAAGCGCCAGAGUAUAUACAGAUGCAACUAAACGGACAGCCUAAUCAUCAGGGAUCAACUCGAGUUGUCAUCAGACUCCCACAGGACAGAUGCCCAGACCAGAUUGAGGUUCCAUUGCUGGAGGAGAGGGGGAUAAUGGAGUUUGAAGCGCAAUCAGCUCUGCCUCCCAGAGUAUGUCGAGAUCCACGGCCAGAUGAUGAGAUGGAGGAGGCCGCUGAGAAAGGACGUUCCGAGUAGACCUAGACGAGGAGGAGGCAUUUCUGAGUAAUUCUCCAUUUGAACUUCGGGCUCCUGCAUGACUUGUUCUGUUCCCGUGGGUCACAUGAGGCUGACAUGAGAGACUGGGCUGUUUCACUUGCCCUAGGCCACAAAACAAGAACUCAUGCCAUUUCCUAAGUCCAAGCCUGGGUCCUUUCCACUACCUAUACAUUUGCAAAUCAUGCUCAACAGAUCCUUGGAGAACCACAGAGGCACCUGAGGGGCUCUUACGAGUAUCUGGGUGGAUGCACUGUGGGGAGGGCUCAUCUCCUUCACCCUCUUCACCCAGAGAAGCUCCACCUUCACGUUUUUGUUAUACAGCGAGCUUCUCUAUGAGACUUAAUUUGAUACGCAGGUUAACCUGUCACUUUUUAAAAACCAGUCUGCUCUAUAACUAUUCUGUACUUUCCUUAUUUAUUGAGCAUUUUACGAUCAGAUUAUUUCAUACAUUCACAGGUUCUCCAAGUUGGAAGUUGUGGCUAGUACACAGGGGCUCCAGAAACAGCUCAUCCCAGUUUGGUGCUAGCAUCAGAAGAUGCCACUCUCUAAAAUAGAACUGAGAUGAGGGAGGCUGAGGUCAGACACCUGCAGAGGUGACUUGGAAAUGAGUGUGAACUAGGCUGGGAUAUUCCUCACCACUCAGUGGAGCACAGCAUAGGCUGUACCGCAUGUGAGCUCGGCUGGAUCUCACUCACGGCAGCACACGGGGAGCUGGUUUUUUAAUAGAAGGUGUUGGUCUGAAGAGAAUAGAAUGUGUCUGUCUUCAGAUUACUUUCAUUCAGUAGUCCGACAUUGACUAGAUGGAGGAAAGAAGGAAGUGGGGGACGGCAGUGGUCACAGAUCUCUGGCUUUCAGAAUAAGCAGGGGCGAAAUCUACUGACCUCCAUACAGGAGAGGAUGCUGAAGCCAGCCCACAGGGAGCCUUUGGGUGCAUUUUAAAGACUCCUCCUCUGAGUGAAUUAAAUAGGAAAAGGCACGUCCUCUGGGCACAAGCAGAUGAUAAGCAUACAUGCUUGGCAACGAAGAGCACAUUUUUCAUAAACUAGAAAAAAAAGUCCCCUUCCUCUGGGCAAACAGCCCUUGCACUAUGCUGUGGUGAGAGGCCAAGGGAGCUGAGCACAAACUGGAAUUCAGCCCUCCUCAUCACCUUUGUGAGCUCAUAGGCAGGGCCCUAGGCGCCAACUCUCCCUGCUCCUCCAGUUACCUGUUGGGGUACAUAAGCCUGCAUUCUACACAUGAAAGCAUUUUCAGUUCCAGACAUUGGCAGCCUCGGAAGGGAGGAGGAAGGGGUGUGGAGAGGCUGCCACCCUCUUCUUUUUUGUGAUGUGUGGACACAGGUUCAUGUACACACACAGGCACACAUGCGCACUUGUGCGCACAUAUGCAGUCAGGGACCUGUAGGGUAGAGCUUAAGCCACUGAAUGUUUCAGUAAGAAUAAUGGUGCCUAAAAAAUAGAAUAGUUGACAGAUUUGGGGGAGGGGGUUCUUACUACUCACAGUUCCUGGAAUUAUGUGUAAUUACGUCUUAGAAACCCAACAAAUAAUCAGUAAGUAUAGAAUUAAGGAAUCACAGUGUGGUGAAGUUCAAGGAAGCUGAUGUUACUCAUAAGAGUAAAUAAAGUAGAAAGUCCAGGGCCUAGGGUCACGGUGAAGAGCCCCGUGAUCUCUGGAGCCCCAGGCAUUCAGAGAGGGCAGCUUGCAGAGACCUGAUAUGCAUUCUCCCAUUCCUCCUUCUAACAGAACUCCAGUUUUAUUUCGCUUAUCCAUAUUCCUCUGCUUUAAACAAAUUUUUUUUUCUCAAUGUCCUGUCCAGGUAGGAGUGACGGCAUGACACAGUUCUGGCCAAGGGGGUGUCAGCCUAAGUCACUAAGUGGACUUGCAGAAGAGUUCUUUUCUGAAGCCAACUCUCUGGUCUUGGGUCCCCUUUUCUCCUUCACUAUCCCACUUCUUCCUGCCAGAAACAUAAACGUGGUAGUCUGAGUUCUAGCAGUCACCCUGAGAGUACUGAUUCAUUUACUCAACAAAUACAUGCUAUUCUCCAUGCUGGGGUUUCAGGGUGAAGAAAACAGACAAUGACCCCUAUGCUCAAGGAGCUUACAGAUCAUAAACAAAUAGAUACAUAGUAUGUCAGAAUGUGGUAAGUGUCAAGGAGGAAAAUAAAUUAAGAAAUGAGGAACUAGAUGCAGGACAGAGUCAGCCCUAUAGAUGAUGGCUCAGGAGGCUAGAGGGAGCCAGGUUCCCAUUAGGAGCCCUGUUCUCACCUUGAGAGUUAUUUUAAAUGCAGAAAAAUUGAACCCUUAAUUCGUUUAUGUCACUGUUUUUCAGGUUUCUAAUACUACCCUCUGAAUGCCAUCCCCCAGCCGAUAAUGACCCUAAAAGAAAGCUGUGUUUGGCCAGGCUCCGUUUUUGGACUCUGCUGUGAAGACUGGUUUGCUGGUAUGCCAGAGGCAAGAUGCUGAGAAGCCCAGCUUUGCUCACCAACUUCUGCAUCACAUCUGGUGAGGGGCGUUGGAGUCUCUCCCCAAGGUGGGGUUUGGGAGGCUUCUAAUUUCCAAGACAAAACCAGUCUUGAUCUGGCCUUACCUGGGGGCAGUUGUUGAAGUUCUGAAAAUACCCAGUACAGAGCACCUGGGCGCAGUUCUCACGGAUGCCGGCAGCCAAUACCGUCCGAGAGACUGCUCUUGAAAAGGCCCAGCUCUCCACAUGUCCUGGAGAAACUGGAUCCCCUCUUUUUUCUCUGAGUCCCCAGAGGUCCAAGCGCCAUCCAAGAGUAAAAUGGAAGAGAAAAACAGAAGACUUUUGAACAUAUUCCUAAAAGCUUGGUGGCAAGCCUCUGGGGCUUUAAGCAAGGGAUAGACAUGCUCACACUCAGAUCUGGGAAGGCUCACUCUGGCUGAAACUCGGAGAAGGGAUCUGAGCAGGGCAAGACUGGAGGCAGUGAGAUAAGAGCACUGUGGUGGAUGCUAGGGUCAUCUGAAUAAACAAGAAAACCAGUCAUGGACCUUACGUCAAGUCAAGUGGCCAAGACAGACGUUAAACACACGAGGACAAAAAUUAUGGUUUAUUUCUAGUUGUGGCAAGUGCCACAAGGAAAAGUACGGGGUAUUGUGAAUGUGUAAUAGGGAGACCUAACUGAGAGAGUGGCCUUUAUGAUAAUGAGGGUGAGUUGAUUGACUCACAGAACUAGGAAGGGAAGAGAGAAAGAGAGGGGGACAGAGGGAGAGACUUUUAGGAAUAAUAAGGAAUAAUAAAAAGGAAUAAUAAGCAUGCAUGGAGGCCUGAAGCAGGAAGGAGUUCUGAUGAGAAUACGGGAAGGAAAUCCGCUGGGAUGGUAACGUUAGCUACACUGGGAUUGUGGAAUUUUGGGUACUUUUUAUUUGCUUUUGUUUGUAUACAUUUUGCAUUUCACAGAUUUUCCACAACAAACACACGUUAUUUUAAUCAUUGGAGGGGAAAAAAAACAUUGUUAGUUUAAACAAAAUAAUAAAGGAUGUGGGGAGAAUGGGUGUCAUGGAGGAGGGGGCACAUUCCAGAGGGACUGGUGACUUAAGCGGUGAGUAAUCCCUACGUGGGGGAGAGCACAGGCAUGUUGAUGGGGCUAGAACAAAAGAGCAGGGGUGACUCACGAAUGAUACAGUUGAAGCUGGGCCGCCAAGGUCCAUGAAGGUGAGGUUGAAGAGUUGGGGGUGAUAUGAAAAGUCAUAGUGAGCUACUUUCAAAGGGCCUGAGCAGGGGAGGAAUCUAUUGUGAGGCUAUCACUGCUCAGAAUGUUCAGGAUAUAAAGAUAAAGAAGACAAUCGUAACAGGCCAGUCCCCUGCCCUCAGGAAGUUCCUCCAGUUGCUGUUAUUACUGAUGACUGUUGAAUAAAUGGGGCCACUCAUAAGAAGCAAAUGGAGAGUUCUGACAGAGGAUGAAAGGCUAUAUUUUCCAAAGAUGGGUAUCCUCCUCCGAUACUCUUCUUAUCCCAUGACUGACACGCCAGGGUGGGAUCAUGUUCCUUCCCCUUGAAUCUGGCUGGGGCUGUGACUGCUGUGACCAAUGGAGUAGGGGGAAAGCAAUGUAGAUCAUAAAAAAGUGAAGUCAUAAAAAGUAUAUAGUUCAUGCCUGGUUCUCUUUCUCAGUAACCCAGACACCAUGCAAGAGAGGCCCAAUCUAGACCAAGGGAGAGGAACCGAGGCCCCCAGCCAAUAGCCAGCAUCCACUGCCAGACGUGUGAAUGAAGGAUCCUGCAGACGGAUGGUUCCAGUCUCCAGCUUUCGAGUCUUCCAGCUUCGACCCCAGACAUCAUGGAGCAGAGGCAAGCCAUCUCCACCCCCACUGCACUCCAUCCAAACUCCUGAUCCACAGAGCCCAUAAAGGUAACAAAGAGUGUCAUGCCCGCUAAGUCUUGGGGUAAUCUUUUAGGCAACAUUAGAUAACCAGAACAUAGAGUGACCUUAGGAGGAGCAAGAAUGAGCAGCAUAGAAACUGAAGGAGAAAGUACCCUAGACGAGUUGAGUUAGUCAGAUGGAAUGACAUUAAAUGUGGAAAGCGUUACUAGCCUCGACCACAUGGUUUCUAACCUCGUCCUGCUGUGAAAUUGUUCCCUCAAAGACCACCAACAACCUCCCAACUGACUAAAGUCAAAAACACCUCACCUUCUUCUCCAUACUCAUUCUCCUUCAACUUCUUUCCUUGACUUCCAGUCUUAAUAUAAGGUCAACUACCACACGGACAUGCUUCUCUACCGGUCUCUGCUUUGCUUUACUCAUUGGUUCCUCUUCUCCCUCCCACCUUCCCACUAGGCUGUAACCAACUUACUUUCCAAAGGCUUGCUCCCCUCUCUCUAUCCAUGGCCCUCAAAGAGCUCACUUCUUCUUCUUCUUCUUUUUUUAAAUAUUUAUUUAUUUGGCUGCGCCUGGUCCUACUUGCAGCACACAGGAUCUUCGUUGCUGCCG